CCUACGGGGGGCUGCAGUGAGGAAUAUUGGUCAAUGGACGGAAGUCUGAACCAGCCACGCCGCGUGCAGGAAUACGGCUCUAUGAGUUGUAAACUGCUUUUGUACAAGGGUAAACCUGAAUACGUGUAUUCAGCUGAAAGUACUGUACGAAUAAGGAUCGGCUAACUCCGUGCCAGCAGCCGCGGUAAUACGGAGGAUCCAAGCGUUAUCCGGAUUUAUUGGGUUUAAGGGGUGCGUAGGCGGAUUGAUAAGUUAGAGGUGAAAUGUCCGAGCUUAACUCGGGAACUGCCUCUAAUACUGUUGGACUAGAGGGUAGAUGGGGUAGGCGGAAUGUAUGGUGUAGCGGUGAAAUGCUUAGAGAUCAUGCAGAACACCGAUGGCGAAGGCAGCUUACCAGACUAUAUCUGACGUUGAGGCACGAAAGCGUGGGGAGCGAACAGGAUUAGAUACCCUGGUAGUC
rnacentral:rRNA from 1 species